GCCGUGGUAACGGCAUUUUCUUUCUGAAGUUGAAACCGUCAACUUUCAGGGUAGGAUGGAUCCAGUCAAAGCAAGAUUGGAUAUUGGCAAUGGAGAAAAACUUUAGACGGCGUAGAUGUGGAGAUCAACAGAAGUGAGAUUGAGUCUUACCCUUUUAGCAGGGGAAAGCAAUUAGGUGGUGAAAAUCCUCUUAAGGGAGUGAGGGAACUAGGAAUGGAUUGGGCUCGGUUCAAGGUGAUCUUUAGGGAGAAGUUUGUGCCUAGAGCAGUGGCAAAAUACUAAAUGCUCAAAUUUGCAGCAUUUGGAAACAAUUGGGAACGACAUUGCAGAUUAUGAAGGGGUCGUUCACCAAUUUGGCUGAGUAUGGCGCCACACUUGGUGGCAACGGAUGAGAUGCGAGCCGCGCAGAUUUGAGGAUGUUGAUGCAACGAAAUUAAAAGGUUAUUAUGCCAUGGUGUUGCCGACUUAAUGCUGAGGUGCUAGAUAUAGCAAUUAAUUUGGUGGAGCAGGAUGAGAUUUGAGAGGAAGAAGUAUUUGAUAGAGCAGAGGAGACAAACUUUUUAUAACAGAGGGAACUAGCGGGCAGAAAAAGCAGAAACCUGAGAUAAGUCAGGAAUUUUGGGAAUAAUCCAAAGGGGCAAGUGCAGUGUGCCAGAAUGUGGAAGAACCAUUGGGGUUAUUCUGGAAGGAUCAGGAUUGAAGUUAGAAUGAGUCAUGAUGUUUCCUUGUCCAAUGAGUGGGACACAUAAAGAGUGAACUGUCCGAGGCGAGAACAGAGGUAGUUAGCACCGAGGGGAGGUCCAAGAGGAGGGAAUAUAGGCCAACAUGUAAUGCUAGGCUAGGAGGCAUAGGCCGGGGAACCCAGGGAACAGGGAUGUCAUGUGAAUACCAGAGGCAAGGACGAGCUUUGCCCUGAUGCUAGGGAUGCAGAAUAAACCGAGGACGUGGUUGGCAGGUACUUGAUAUCGUUCUUUACCUGCUUAUUAUUGGUUGACACUAGGUCUUCACACCAUUUGUGUCAAUACAUUUGCAAGUAGGUUUGAAUAUAAAACUGAACGCAUUAGGCUAACGAGCUAGUAGUAUCACAACCAUGAUUAAGGUACCUGUGUGUUCAAUGGUGUAUCGAGAUUAUAGUGUCUGUAUUGAUGAUACAGUGAUAACCUACAGAUCUGAUACCAUUGAAAUGGAAUAUUUUGAUGUCAUAUUUGGAAUGGAUUGGUGUCCAUAAAUCGGGCUAAACAAUUUAUUGCCUAGAUAAAUAUAUAGCUUUAAGACUCAAAAUCUUGAAAGAAUUUAAAGUUAGAUUGGGGGGGAAGGGAGAAGAGUAUACUCCUCCAUAUUUUUGUGUCUAAUGGCUUGUGCCCAACUACUCUUUACGGAAGGGUUGUCAGGGUAUUGGUGUAAUGUGAACGUUGUCUUUUUGUCAAGGCUCGCUGUGCGGACAAAUUUUUCUCUGUUUCGCGUGAAUUUUCCUGGGUAUUUCCGAGAUUGCCAAGGUACCCUAUGGAUAGGGCAAAUUGAUUGUGAUUGGGUAUCCUGGAACUCAACCAUUUCUAAGGCAGUCGUACCGCAUGGCUUCUGCAGAGUUAAAGGAAUUAAAGUCACACUGCAAGAGUUGUUAGACAAGGGGUUUAUAAGACCUAGUUUUUGUCCUGUGGGGUGCACCAUUUUUGUUUGUUAAGAAGAAAGAUGGACGAUUGGAUUAUGUAUAUAUUACCGGGAUUGAAUAAGGUUACAAUUAAGAACAGUAUCCAUUACCAAGGUAGAUGAAUCUGUUUGAUCAGUUGCAAGGGGCAAAAGUCUUUUCAAAGAUGAUUUACAUUCUGGCACAUCAUUGAAGGUGAAGCCCAGAGGAUUUGAAAAAACAACCUUUAGGCACGGUAUGUCACAUUAUGAAUUCCUCAGUAUGCCAUUUUGAGUCACUAAUGCACUCAGCCGCGUUCAUCGAUUUGAUGAAUCGAAUUUUUAAGACUUACUUGGAUUGAGUGGUGUGAUCGUCUUUAUUGACGAAUAUCCUUAUCUACUCAAAAUAUGAGGAUCAGCAUUCUGAACACUUGGAGAAUUGGUGUUGCAGAUAUUGAAAGACCAAAGCCUAUAUGUCAAAUCAAGAAAUGUAAAUUUUGGCUAGACGUGUGGUAUUUUUGGGACAUAUUAUUAGCGGAGAAGGGCAUCUCGGUUGAUACCCCAGAAAAUCAGGCAAUUGUGGAUUGGCCGCAACCAAACUGUUUUGAAGUUAGAAGUUUCUUGGGCUUCGGGAUAUUUAUCGGAGUUUUGUCAAAGACUUUUUCACAGAUAGCAAGUCUAUGACCAGAAUUUGACAGAAAAAGGAACCAUUUGUGGUGGACGGGAAGAGGAAACAUAGUUUUCAAGGCUAAUAAGAGUAAUUUCAGCACUAAUACUUGUAUUUGCCAGAGGCAUUGAAGGAUUUUUUCAAUUUAUAGUGCUGCCUUCACAUCAAGGAUUGGGGUGUGUGUUGAUGUCAAAACAGAAAUAUGCAUAG
rnacentral:lncRNA from 1 species